UCGCGAAAUAAACAAUUUGGGGGUUGAUUCGCAAUCUUAGUUGGUGGUAGCAAGUGUCUCCGCUUUGAUAAUAGUUAUUCGGGGUUAUUUUGUGCUUUGAUCGCUGUUGUUGUUUUUGUAUAUACAGUGAGUUCGCUGUGAUCGUCGUUGUGUAUGAUCUCCACCGCAGCGGUCCGCCGAAGAGUUUAUUCUAAAAAUAAAUACCUUGCUGCUGCCUAAUUGUUGGCGUUAUCGAUCAGUAUUCAUCGACAACAAAUAUCGAAACUGACACUGGACAAGCCUAGAGCCGCCAAAAGAAAAAACAAUUUACGACAACAAAUCAACAUAUUUUGCGUCUUCAUUUUCAAUAACAGACCCAUGAUAUAUUUGAAAUAAUAUAAAAGCAGUGUCGGUGAUAUUUUCCCGACGUUUGUUGUGAUGUUUUAGAGAAAUUAUUGUGUGAUUUGAUAAUGGCAUCGGGGUCUAAAAAUGACAUAGUUAAUAGAUUACUUAAUGUUCGGCUGGAGGAAGGAGCUGGCGGAGAUGAGUUGCCCCCGCAGAACAUGCUGCCUUCGAACCAGCACGCGAGGCAACUAGGCCACGCAGUUGACGAUGAAACGGGGCAAUCUGUGGAGCCUGUGCCAUCCUCAUCAGCUAUAGAAAAUCUCCAGCCAACGAACAACACAGGAGGACGAUUACACAACUGGCAAGCGACAAAAACAACAGUGAAAGAGCGUCUAUCAUUCUUAUUCAACAACGAAAUCCUAUGCGACGUUCAUUUCAUAGUAGGCAAAGAACAGAAUCAACAAGUAAUCCCUGCUCAUAAGUUUGUACUAUCCGUUGGUAGUGCGGUCUUUGACGCUAUGUUCAACGGCGUUUUAGCUACUAAAUCCGACGAGGUAGAGCUGCCUGAUGUUGAACCAGCUGCAUUCUUACAUUUACUGAAGUUCCUUUAUUCUGAUGAAGUUAGAAUCGGUCCAGAGAGUGUAAUGACUACUUUGUACACUGCCAAGAAGUACGCUGUAGCAGCUUUAGAGGAGCAUUGUGUCGACUUCCUGAAGAGUAACUUGGGCACAGACAACGCGUUCCUUCUUUUGACACAAGCGCGGUUGUUUGACGAGCCGCAACUUGCUGCAUUAUGUUUAGAGAUGAUUGACAAGAACACUGCAGACGCGCUAAAUGCCGAAGGCUUCACUGAUAUUGAUCAGGAUACUUUGAAUGCUGUUUUAGAGAGAGAUACUCUUAGAAUCCGCGAGGCGAAGAUCUUCUCAGCCGUGCUUCGCUGGUCUGAAGCGGAAUGCAUACGCCGCCAAAUUCCGGUGACCCCUGGUAACCAACGCAUGGUGUUGGGCCGGGCGUUCAACGCCAUUCGGUUUCCCUUGAUGUCUGUGGAAGAGUUUGCCAUGGGGCCAGCACAAAGUGGGCUUUUGGACGAUAGAGAAAUAGUACAGCUGUUUCUUUAUUUCACUGUCAAUCCUAAACCCAAUGUGGGGUUUCUGGAUACGCCGAGAUGUUGUAUGACGGGGAAGGAGCUGACGGUGAAUAGGUUUCCCCAGACGGAGUCCCGGUGGGGCUACAGCGGGACAACUGACAGAAUACGGUUCACAGUGGAUCAGAGAAUCUUUGUUGUUGGCUUCGGGCUUUAUGGGUCAUAUUUUGGGCCUACGGAGUACGAGGUUCAUUUGCAGAUAAUCCACCUGGCAACUAAGAAAGUUUGCGGGUCGAACACGACCACAUUCUGCUGCGACGGCACCGACGACACCUUCCGGGCGAUGUUCAAGGAGCCCGUCGAGAUACUCCCCAACACUUCAUACAUCGCCAGUGCCAAACUCAAGGGCACCGACUCGUACUACGGCACGAAAGGCCUGCGACGCGUCACCGUGGAUUGCAACAACGGCGAAAAAGUCGUAUUCCAGUUCUCUUACGCCGCCGGCAACAACAAUGGCACCUCGGUCGAGGACGGACAAAUACCCACUAUCAUAUUCUACAUUUAAACGGCUAUUUGGACACAGGUAAACAUCUUGCUCAGACUAAAUACGAGGCAAUGAAGAUAUCCGUCGAAAUUAUCUGUUGAAAAUUGCACUUUACAUCAAUGACACAAUGUUCUAAUUCGCGAAUUCAAACAGUGACAGCUUAACUGUAGUCAGUCAACAAUUAAAACCGUGCCACGUUUUAUACGCGAUAUUUGAUCGAAAGAUUCUAGCUUUGAAUUAAUUAUACUAACAAUAUUGCGUUGAUCACCAUUUUGUAAUUAUUAUACUCCUAUUCAGUUAAAUCAAGAUAUCCGACUUGUAUGCCAGAUUGAAGCGACAUAACCGUCUUAACUCGAAACGCAGCAUGAAGUUCAGAGUAAAAAUUUCAAGUUUAAUCCUUGCAAAAGUCAUUUGCGACAUUAAAUUCAGGCAGAAAAUUUCGUGAAAACAUUGUAAUACUUGCAUACGGUCGAGUGCACGUUAAAUAUUGACUCUUAAGAUUUAAAUUAAACUUUAUAGCCUUUACGACAAGAACAGUCUUAAAGUGUCAAAUUUGAUGUGCACUUGACUUUAUUUUUCAAGUAAAUUGAUGCACUAGUUUUAUAUUUUGCGUCGGCCUGUUAAAAGUUCAAAACUUUUUUGGUGAUUAUAAAAUAUAGGACUAUCACAUGUUACUAAAAUAUAAAUCACCAAAUCUCUUACUAGUUUAGGUGAUUCAGAUAACUGAUUAAUAUUGAAUUUUGUAAGCUGUGAUUUCGUUUCUUUUUGACAAUGAUUACAAUUUAAAUUCACCAGUCCAAUUAGGGUGUUUCCACACUAGUGAAACACUGUCGGCUUGAGCCGGUCAGAAAAUAACUUUACAUCUAUGCAAUAAAGGCGAAAAUAACGUUGCGUUUUUCUCAUCCCGUCGGACCACCGACACGAAACACACGUCUUUUUCGCUCGUUCAUUUACACAAACAAGAAUAAACUGUAAUCUUUCUCAAA